rnacentral:pre_miRNA from 1 species
AAACAGCCCCCUAUGUUUUGAUUCUUUGGCAGUUUUGGACCCCAAGGCAAAAAAAAUAAAAAAUAUUGACACGUGGCACCUCACUUAGGAUGCCACGUCAGCGUUGACCGAGUCAACAAUGAACUGGGGGUCCAAAGCUGCCAAAGAAUCAAAAGAUAGGGGGCUGUUU